AGGGAAAUAGUUAAAUUAUAACAUUUGAUUUGCAUUCAAAAAUUAUUACAUUAUUAAUUUUUCUUA
rnacentral:tRNA from 1 species